AGAGUUUGAUUAUGGCUCAGGAUGAACGCUGGCGGCGUGCCUAACACACGCAAGUCGAACGAAGCACUUAAAUGGAAUUCUUCGGAAGGAAGCUUAAGUGACUGAGUGGCGGACGGGUGAGUAACGCGUGGGUAACCUGCCUCAUACAGGGGGAUAACAGUUAGAAAUGGCUGCUAAUACCGCAUAAGCACACAGUGUUGCAUGACACAGUGUGAAAAACUCCGGUGGUAUGAGAUGGACCCGCGUCUGAUUAGCUAGUUGGUGGGGUAACGGCCUACCAAGGCGACGAUCAGUAGCCGACCUGAGAGGGUGACCGGCCACAUUGGGACUGAGACACGGCCCAA
rnacentral:rRNA from 1 species